rnacentral:rRNA from 1 species
UAAUACGUAGGGGGCGAGCGUUGUCCGGAUUCAUUGGGCGUAAAGCGCGCGCAGGCGGCUUGGCAAGUCGGAUGUGAAAAUCCGGGGCUCAACCCCGGACGUGCAUCCGAAACUGCCAGGCUAGAGGCAGGUAGGGGAGAUCGGAAUUCCUGGUGUAGCGGUGAAAUGCGCAGAUAUCAGGAGGAACACCGGUGGCGAAGGCGGAUCUCUGGGCCUGUCCUGACGCUCAGGCGCGAAAGCUAGGGGAGCAAACAGGAUUAGAUACCCUGGUAGUCCUAGCCGUAAACGAUGGAUGCUAGGUGUGGGGGGACAUCGACCCCCUCCGUGCCGGAGCUAACGCAUUAAGCACCCCGCCUGGGGAGUACGGCCGCAAGGCUAAAACUCAAAGGAAUUGACGG